AUUAGGGUGAGGCACAUGGGCUACUAACAGCUUACUACACAAUGUACACUUAGUAUUACUUUCUUAGCUACAGUAUACAUAUCUCCAAUGGCAUAUUACAGAAUUUAUGCAGCAGCAUGCAAGAGAUUGUUGGACUCACCUUUUGUGCUGUGCUCACUUGAACAGGAAGGUGGCGUGGUGUUCCUUUGUGGGCAAAUUUUGUCAUCAAACUUUGACAAAGUCUGGAAUUCUCUGGAUUUAUGGUGCUUUCAAGACAACUGGGAACUCGGAAAAAAACAAUGUUGAAUCAUGAUGUCAGUGAUCUUCAGGUCGGAGCUCUAGAAAAAGGCCCGAGGUCCCGACUUGGAAUUCCGAGUUGGAUGACCGUAUUUUCCCCAUUCGGAGCUCUUUUUCCCCUGAGUUCCCAGUUGUCUUGAACUCACUGAAGUAUGAGAUUUCCCAGUUGUUUGAAUGUAGCAGAAGUCAUGCUAGAAUUGACAGCAUGGCCAAUGUUUUUAACCUUUUAAUGGCCCAUGGUGUUGAAUGUUUAUCCUUUUAAGCUUGGAAAAGAGACACUUAAACCUAGACUUAGACCACACACCAAAACAGUCCAAAACAGAGAGGCUUAAAAUUAAGCACUGCUUGUUUUUUUAAAAUGCAUAAAUACCAAAUUAUCAGUGUCUACUACAGUAUUUGCCUAAAUGUAACUUGUCUAUAUCGUGAUACUUUUUAUGUCUCUCUGGAUUUAUUUUUGUUGUGUGAUAUCUAUAUAUUGUUUUGUACAAUGUUCAUGUAAACACUGCUUAUAGCUAACUUCGCUAAAUUAAACUAGUCAAUAUAUGCAAGGUUUGCCACAGAGGAAGAUGCAAUCGACCUUGAGGCAAAUAACUAGCUAGCUAACUAGUAAAUGGUUUAACUAGCUACUAGUAGGUACCUGGAAAUUGAAUUCCACAUCAGGCCUAGCAAAUAAGUUUAUAAGGUAUAUGCUUGAUAUUGCUAAUGAAAACUUUUCUUUCCCUUUUCAACCAUGGUCCAGACGAAGGGACUAUGUAGGUGAAUGAGGGGUAGGUGGUGAGGAUUUGGGGCUUGCCUUGUUCCUGCACCCAGGAAGAGGUGGCAGGCAGGGUUCUUCUCUGAUUGUAACGUCGUGGGGAAAGUGAAUGGAGUGUGCUUCACGUUUUUCAAAGGAAGGAAGGUCCAGUGGGGAAGCUUUCAUGGAAUUGAAAACAAAAUAGGAUUUUAAAAACACCAUAGCAAAGGAUAGCAAAUACAUUGCCCGUCGCAAUAUUGUAGG